ensembl:lncRNA
GGGGGGGGGGGGGGGGCUCAUAUCUGAUGACACUCGCCACCUCUCCUGCAGCUCGAGCUUGAGGAGACUUGAUGCCCAGAAUGGAGCUCGAGGCCCAGAGAAGUGGAGAAGAAGCGAGACAGCGCUCACCCAAGUUGCCAGAUCGUUUCCAUCGGCGGAGAAGACCUAAUUCACCCCAGGCUAUUAAUACCAAGAUAAUAACCUUGAUGAAUGACCCCGCGAGGGGCCCUGAGCCCUCUGCACGGAGGAAAGCUGCGCGGCGCACAACUGCUGUACUCGGGAGAUUGUGUGUGAAUCGGUUACAGUGCACUUUAUUCUACAAUCCUUCUGUGCUGUGGACGCUUUGCAGUUGUGUCACAAAGCCCCUCUCAGCCACGACUGGAGUCCCAAUGUGCAAAUUAGAAAGUAUAAAAGCCAAGGAGAGAAAUAGAUAUUUAACAUUUGUUAGCGUUGUAGUUACUCGCUCAUGAGAUUUCUUUCCCAACAACUGUGAGAGAAAAGAAAAUAUAUUUAAAUUAGAUGCAAUAUAUUUGCCGUGAUAAAUUCUGCAUCUUACUUAUUUGUAAGUAUGUUUAUUUAGCUACCUCUGAUUUCAGAUUAAAUUCAAUCACAUAUUCAGUUUCAUUUUAAGCAAAGCAAAUCUAUUUUUAGUUUUGUUCGUGUGAAAGCUCAUUCUUGACCUCGGGAACAGCCGUUUGAUGAAUUAAUCUUUAAUCGUGCACUAAUAUAUCAGCGAACAACAUGCAGGGGAGACUGGUCUACCGGAGCAGAGAACGACUGUGGAAGCCCGAGGUUUUCCUUUCCUUGUUGCACAGCAGAGUCGUCCCGCGUGCCUCCGAAGCGGUUCGCUGGUGGCCGACACUCUGCACUGCGCUCUGACGGUGUCAUGGCGGGAAUAACGUCAAACACCGCCUGCUCGGUCAGCACUGCGCUCGUCGUUCGCGCCGUUGGCUUCUAGUUUGGAGGCAACAGCUGUGCUCUGAUUUCCGAAUUUAGAAGCUUGAACUAAAGGUUCACUUACUAACACUGAGCAUGUUUUUUUAGUGUGCUGGUGAAGAUUGUGAGGCCAAGAACACUGAGAAGCAGGUAGUAGUUGGACCCUCAGUUAAGGUUUGUAAAAUCAUUUUGUUAAUCUAGUUCAAAUAUAUUUGAAACUACUAAAAUAAAUUAAUAUGUAUAUGUCUAUUGCAAAUGAAUAUAAUAUAUUAUACAAUUCUCAAGGCAUGUCAGUCCACAUGCUUUUUUUGAUUACCUCCAGAUGCAGAUACAUCUUCAUUCAGCUUAAAGGUGUUUGGAAGAUCCCAUAAAUAGAAAAGGAAUUUGAAAUUCAUGAUAUUCAAAAAACAUCAGUUAGUUGUAUUUUUAAUUGUUUUAGCCGCGUAGCUGGCAGCAGGCUCAUUUCUGCUUAGCAGCUGGUAUUAAACAUGGACGUAUAAAGAGAACUGGGUACAGCGUUUCAUUCCAAUAAACGAUGUAUUCUGGGGCUUGAAGCAAAUAAAGUUCAUGUUAAAUACAUACUAUUUGAAAUAAAUAUGGCUAUUGAAUAAUAACCCGAACCUUCCGCAAUCAUUGAGCCCAUAGUGCUGCGCUCACAACCGUCAACCUCACCCACAAGAGCAGUUUGCAUGCUUGAAGCCGGACCCUGUUGUAUUCAUGAGAAACAUGAAUCAACUGGUCAUAUUUAUGAACUAAACUCAGACCAGAAUGCCCACAGAUGCAUAACUAGGAUCAGGCUUUGCGGCAUGCAGCCCAUGGCUGUAUUAUAAGAUCCUAAAAUUGACAAAUUAGAGCUAAUAUACUAAUUAUUACAGCCUCAUACAGCAGUGAGCCGAUCAAGCGGACACGAUAUAUGAGCAUGCCGGUCGGAGCCGUCCCGCCGGGGCGGACGGGCAUUCAUUAUGCUAAAAGUGAUAACAGGGGAUUUGGCUUUCUGUGUAUUUUACAACUUGUAGGACCUAAUCAUUUAAAUAAGGGCUAUUACAGUGUUUGUACUGGAAAGUUAAAAUCUACAGACAUCUUUUCCCCAAUGUAGUUCUAUGGGAAAAAUGAUGGACACAGAAGUUGUAUUUACAGGGUUUGGCCAAUAAAUCCUCUCUCUCUUUACACAUCCAUGGUGUGAUUGCUAACUGUAGAUGCUAACUCACGCUUCUACUCCAUUAUCUGUGUUUGCUACGUGUACAACAGGAGGAGCACUAUUUUGCUAAGCACAUUUUUUGUUGUUUAACUGCUGCUAGAAUAUAAAUCAGAUGUCUUCGAAGAACCAUCCGCUGAAGAAGGGUGGACAAAAUACAGUUUCACUGCUAACCUAACGUUAGCUAAGUCUAUGUCAACAAAGCUCCUGGGUAACUUAACUUGGAUAUACCAGAAAAUAUUAAAACCAUCACUCACCCUGUUCGCAAUUCACUGAAUCUCGCGCUCCCUUCUGACACGCGCAC